rnacentral:tRNA from 1 species
CGGGGCGUAGCGCAGUCUGGUAGCNCACUUGACUGGGGGUCAAGGAGUCGCAGGUUCAAAUCCUGUCGCCCCGACCA